CCCUUAGAUGUUCUGGGCUGCACGCGUGUUACAAUCGGGCGUACAACAAGAUUGCAAAUCCUAGUGGAUGAGUGGUUCUUCGAAAUUUUCUGAAGACUGGGAUAGUUGAUUGAAAUUAUUCAACUCAAACGAGGAAUUCCUUGUAAUUGUAAUUCAUUAUAUUGUAAUGAAUACGUCCCUGCCCUUUGUACACACCGCCCGUCGCUCCUACCGAUUGAACGAUCCGGUGAAUUAUUUGGAGUAGCUCUGGAAGUUGCAGAACUUCCUAUGUCACGAAAUUUUGUAAACCUUAUCGUUUAGAGGAAGGAAAAGUCGUAACA
rnacentral:rRNA from 1 species